UUUUCUACAAGAAAGACGUAUCCCACAGUGGAGUUUAUGCAUCUACUUUGUUUGUGUUCAAUUGGCUUUCUCCAUCUCUUUUUGUGCCUUUCCUUUCUCCUCACUCAUGUGUUUUUCUAACAAAGGAGCACGCCUUGGAAAAGGAAAGACCCAGUAAAAUAUAAAGCUUGUAUAUUAGAAAUAACAAUUUGUUAAGUGCUUUUGCCUUUUAAUUGUUUUGCAUUAGUUAAUUUGGUUAUUGAUGCAUCCUCCCCAAGCCAGCUAAAAUACUAGGAAUGGUAUGGAAUCUUCUGGCAAAUUCAGAGUGGAUGAAUUGGAGGCUCGUAUCUGUGUCUUAUGUGAUAUGAAGGUGCCACCAAACUUAAAGGCAAAUUAGUUAGACAGGCUAUGUUCUAUGGAACAAAAUGUUGACCACUCAAAAACUCCCAUGUAUAGAAAUUGUAAGUUGCGGAAAUGAGUAUGCUGAGUUGGGUGUGUGGACACAAUAGGAGAGAUAAGAUUAGAAAUAAAGGUAUAUGCGAAAGGCUAGGAUGGUCUCAAUGGAGGAUAAUACGUGGGAACUGAGGUUUAGUCGCUUGGAUUGUUUGAGUAUGUGAAGGGGAGAUGUACAUAUGCACCAGUAUGGAGCUGUGAAAGGUUGAUUAUGGAUGGUUACAUGAUAGGGAGAGGUACACAAAAAAGUUAUUGGGGAGAGGUGAUUAGACAAGACAUGACAUAGCUCCAACUUACCAAGGAUAUGAUCUUAGAAGAUUAUGGAGGACACAAAUUAGGGUAGAGGGUUAGUUUGGUAGUUUGUAAGUUGUCUUGCUUAGUCCUUCAUACUAUUAGUCGUAGGAUUACAUUGGAAGUUUCUUAUUAUUCCACUUCUGUUACUAUUUACCGUUUUUAGCACUUCAAUUAUCAUAUUAAUUUGUGGUGGUGAUUGUCCUGUUUUUAGUAUGCUAUGUCAUGUUUAUUUUAGCAUUUUGUCUUGGUUUCUUCACUACCCCUUGUUUUUAUCCGAAUUGCUUUGUAAUGCUUUCAAUUGAACCAAGGUGGCAAGGUCCAUGGAAAAGACUAAAACAACCUCUAUAUUUUUGUAGGGGUAAGUGUGUACAGCACAACCCUCCCCAUACCCCACUUGUGGGAUUACACUGGGCAUGUUGUUAUUGUUCUAUUAUCCUGACAGUCACAACUCUUCCUUGUAGUCUUAUUGCGUAGGUAAAUGGCUCUCAAGUUCGCCCAGAGUAAGAAUAGAAUAGAAAGCUCUCAAAGAAAUUCCAGAGCUAACGUGGAAACAGAGUAAACAAAGCAAAGAUCAAGUCAAUCACAGAAUUAUAAUGCGACAAACCAAUUUUUGGUGUAUGCCCGGUCUACCAAACAAAACAUCUGGAUACAUAAGGAACAUCAUUACACUUCUGAGGCAGCUUGACAACAGCUCUCACCAUAAAAGAAAUCCAAUAAGCCGUUUACUUUUGUCCUUUCGAUGGAUAGUGUUGGUCUCUUUUUUCUGUUAGUCACCUGCUCAGCAAUUUUUUCCUAGUUAACAAUAAAAAAGAACCAAGUGUAUUCCUAGUGACAUUUGACAAAGGCGAGUAAUAUUUUAAGCAAA